CUGCAGUUUACUAAGAGUUUUAUGGUUUCGGGGAAAGUCCUGAUACUGUCUUAACCUUAUCCAAAAACACUUUAUUGUUGUUAAAUUAUUUAAAACAGUUAUAAAAAGAAUACUAAAUAUACCGUUAUGAAACGGUAUUAAAAUGAACUGCAAAUGGUAAGGCGAGGUCAUCCUGUGCAGACACUCUACCUGCGCCAUCUACCUACAUCCACCUCUUUCUAAAAACAAGUUUUCUGACUGGCAGAAGAGAGGAAAAUAGAGACACCAUUGCCACAGAGGUCACCGCCUUGCCUGGAAGUCUUUUCUCUGGGCACUGCCCACCUUACCUCCAAUGCUACCUCUGAGGUCACUGCGUGGACAGCCCAAGUCUCUUCUCCAUUCUGCUGUCUCCAACACUGCUAUUGCCAAAGCUGCUACCUCUGAUGUGGGUGCUGCCACCCUGAGGUCGCCUGGAGAUCUUCUUCAUGGAUGCUGCUGCUGCCACUGCAGACACCGCUACCCCCAAUGAACACUGCUGCUGUCCUCCCCACUACCAGAUCGCCUGGGUGGCGCUGCCCCCGUGGUCGCGGUUGCAGCCACUACUGCAGCCAUCUCUACAGACCCUUGCAGUACCAUUGCUGCUGACGCGAUACCUGCUGCCACCAACCACCACCAUCACUACCGCUGCUACCACGCCUAGAGGAUUGCUGUGGGGGAGACUCCAGGUUUGGUUGCUCGUGGCAACAUCCAUCUUGGGGCGCCAACCAGGGGCUGGGGCCAGGGUGCCACAAGAGCCUCUGUCUGGGGACUCUGACCAGGACCUGCAGGUCAGUGUGGGGGUGCCUGUGGGUUUGGAGGUGCCUGGGGUCUUCCUGCUGGGAGAGCCGGUGGCCCUUGUCUUGCUGCUGCAAUUUAGGGCUGUUCCUUUGCAUGAGUGUAUCCCUGGUGGUCUCUCUGCAAUAGGAGCAGCACUGAGAUCGUGGGGCUGCAGCCUGGCCGAGCGUGAUGUAUGUGAAACCCAGAUUGGUGGGAUAGAGUCUGGGUCUGGUGAUCCCCCAAGAUGUCAGAGGCAGGGCUGAGAAACUUUGAAACACUGAUGGAGACAGUUCAACUUUCCAUUGAGAAUUAUUUUAUUUUAUUUUUUGAUUCACUAACAUCUCCACCAUAUUUGGAUCAGGGUGUUUUUUACGCAUCAGUAAAGGGAGGACAAUGAUAUAUGAAUGAUGUUUUGCAUUUUUGUUGUAUUUUUAUAUCUUUCAUUUUUUUCUCUUUGUUCGCAUUCUUCCUAUCACUUGUCUUUUUUUCUUGGAUUCUCUUUCCAACUGUUCUCCAACCAACAACCAAUCUCUGUCAGCUCCUUUUCCACUCUUCCUGUGAAUCUUUGCUUCUAGUUUCUCUCUUCUUCCCUUGCAAACACUGCAUAGAAUUAAUUCUGUUCUUGCAUCCACUAUUUGAAAUUGUAAAUCACUUUUAGCAAAUUUUCUGUUUAUACUAUAGAUAGUUAUUGAACUCAUCAUUUCUGUUUAAUGCGAGAGAGCUAUAGACGCCUUAGUGGGAGAUACUAGUUUUAAGGCUAUAUAUUGUUUAUACUGGGUGCUGUUGAUAUUGGUCUCACCAUUAAAGGAGAGGCACUGGAAACCUUCAGGGACCCCAUAGGUCUACAGGGUAGAAUUUGUGCUGCCUUAGAUCCAUACUGCUAGGUGGGAAAACACAUGAACAACAUGGAAAAAAAAGGGGGGGAAUCACGUGCCCCAAGCAAACCAAGAUGCUCCAAUAACAGAAGUCACAAUAACACAGAAGGAAUGAUCAAGAAGGAGUUCAGAUUGUACAUAGUUAAACUGAUCUGUGAAUUAAAGGAUAGUAUAAGGAGAGAAAUCAAAAACAAACUACUGGAAGUGAAAGACCACUGCAGUAAAGUUAGAGAUUGUGAAAAAAAAAAUCAGAAAUUCUCAAAAUGAAGGAAUCAAUAAACCAAAUUAUAAAUUCAAUAGAAAGCAUCACCAACAGACUAUCUGACCACUUGGAAGAUAGAACCUCAGACAAUGAAGACAAAAUAUAUAAUCUUGAAAGUAGAGUUAACCAUGCAGAAAAGACAGUAAGAAACCAUGAACAUCCAAGAAUUAUGAGAUAACAUGAAAAACUGAAUUUAAGAGUUAUCAUAAUAGAUGAAGGAGCAGAGAUAUAAACCAAAGGAAUGCACAAUUUUUUCAAUGACAUAGCAGAAAAUUUCCCAAACCUAAAGAAUGGAAUGGAAAAUCAAAUACAAGAGGCUUACAGGACCCCAAUGUACAAAAUUAUAGCAGACCCACACCAAGACAUGUUAUAAUGAGAUGGACUAAUACACAGAAUAAAGAUAAAAUCUUAAAGGUAAUGAGAGGAAAAAAAAUAAAAUUACACAUAGGAGAAACCAAUUUGAAUCUCAAUGGAUUUCUCAUUCCAGACCCUCAAAGCUAUGAGGUCCUGGAAUAAUAUAUUUCAAGCUCUGGAACAAAAAGGAUGCCAACCAAGAAUUUUAUAUGUAGCAAAAUUAAAUGAAACCUCUAUCUCUCACCCUACACAAAAAUCAGCUGGAUAAAGUGGAUAAAAGACUUAGGUACUAGAACAGAGACUCUGCACCUAAUAGAAGAAAAAGUAGGCCUAAAACUUCACCAUGUCGGCCUAGGAUCUGACUUCCUUAACAAGACCCCUAAAGUGUAAAAAAGUAAAAUCAAGGGUCAAUAAAUGGGAUGGAUUCAAAUUAAAAAAACUUUUUAUCAGCAAAGAAAACAAUCAAUAACGUGAGGAGAGAGCCUACAAAUUGGGAAAAAAUCUUUACCACAUACACCUUUAAUAAAGCAUUAAUCUCUAGGAUACAUAAAGAACUCAAAAAAACUUAACACCAAAAAAAAAAAAAAAACCUCAAUAAAUGGGCUAAGGAACUGAACAGACACUUCACAGAAGAAGAAAUACAAUUAAUCAAGAAAUAUAUGAAAAAAUGUUCAACAUCUCUAGCAAUUAGAGAAAUGCAAAUUAAAACUACACAAAGAUUUCAUCUCACUCCAGUCAGAAUGGCAAUCAUCAAGAAUAGCGGCAACAAUAAAUGUUAGCGAGGAUGUGGUGAAAAGAUACACUCAAGACAUUGCUGAUGGGACUGCAAAUUGGUACAACCACUAUGAAAAGCAGUAUGGAGAUUCCUCAGAAAACUUGCAGUGGAAUCACCAUUUAACCUAGUUAUCCCACUCCUUAGUUUAUACCCAAAGGACUUAAAAUCAGCAUUCUACAGUAAUACAGCCACAUCAAUGUUUAUAGCAGCUCAAUUCAUCAUAGUUAAGCUAUGAAACCAAUAUAAGUGUCCUUCAAUAGAUGAAUGGACAAAGAAAAUGUGGUAUAUAUAUUUAUUCAGUGAAAUAUUACUCAGCAUUAAAGAAGAAUGAAAUUAUGGCAUUUGCUAGUAAAUGGAUGGAGUUGGAGAAUAUCAUACUGAGAAAAAUAAGCCAAUCCCCCAAAACCAAAGACUGAAUGUUUUCUCUAAUAUGUGGAUGCUAAUUCACAAUAAGCAGGGAGGGGAGGGACACUAGAGAAGAAUAGAGUUACCUUAGAUAGGUAGAGGAGAGUGAGGGAGUAGAGUGGAAGGGAUUUAGAAAUAGGAAGGAUAGUAGAAUGAAACAGACAUCAUUACUGUAGGUAUAUAAGUGACUACAUGACCAAUGUGAUUCUACAACAUGUACACUCAGAAAAAUAAGAAAUUAUAUCCCAUCUAUGUAUGAUAUAUCAAAAUGUAUAAAUGCAUUCUACUGUCAUGUAUAACUAAUUAAAACAAAUAAUUUUUUUUAAAAAAAAAGAAAUGAAAAUAAGAUAAUAAAGGUUAGUCUGGGCAUGAUGGAACUCACCUGUAAUCCCAGUGAUGGCAGAGGCUGAGGCAGGAGGAUUACAAGCUCAAGGUCAGCCUCAGCAACUUAGUGAGUCUCUAAUCAAUCUAGUGAGACACUGUCUCAAAUGUAAACUAAAAAGAGGUAGGGGUGUAGCUCAGAGGUAAAGUGCACCUGGUUUAAAUUUCCAGUACAAAAAUAAAUAAAAUAAAAGUUUAGGAUGGAGAAAAACAAACUUCAUUCAGAUGGUUAGGACAACUUCUGUGGGCAGGCGUGACCUCUGGCCUGUGUUUCCAGCGUCCAGUGCAGAGCUGGGCACACGCAGCAUGAGCAUCAUAUAGAAGGGACAAGGCCUGUGUCUCCAGGCACAUGAAGACUUUUCCAGAAACAAACUCUGAACAUUUUCUGCUGAGUAGGAUAUCAUAAGAACUGAACAGCUUAACAGGUAAUGCUCACAGGAGGUUUACACAGCAAAUGACAAGGUAGAUUCCAGAUGGCAUUUGAUGUGGUGACUUUUGUGGGACAGCAAGGACUUCAUAUGAACUGAGAUCUGAAGGCAGCAUCCUCAGGGCGUGGGUGAGGCCCCUCAGGAACAGUGGAGAUGCGGUUGUCCUGGCUGUCCAGAUCUUUUCUCUCCAACCCCACCUCCCUCAUCCCCUUUCCCUCUAUUUUCUUCCUUCCUUUCCUCCCCUCCUUGAACUCAUUCCCAGAAAGCCACACAAAGUCCCAAAGACUGUGAACUCCAGAUCAGAUGAUCAGAUCCCUCUCUCUCAUACCUACGGCAGUUUACUCUGAGCACAUUACUAACCGCUCUGCUUUCUUAUUUGUAAAAUGGGGUUAAUUACAUCUACCUCUUGGGAUUUUUUUGUGACAGUUAAUGGAGAGAAUGCAUAAAAUUGAUUAAACAAUUUGCUGAGUCCACCACAGGUGACAUGUAGAGAUCAGUUAUAACAAUAACAAUAAUAGCAACAAAAUGAAUAAUUACUUCAUUCGUUUGGCGAUUAAUUUUGAGUGCCUAUUAUACAGUAGGUGAUGUGCUAGGUGUUGGAAGUUCAAACCUAAAUUGCAUUACCUAAACUCUGGAAACUUCUAUUUAAUAGUAGAGACAGAUAUCUAAACAGAUAACUUCAGAACAAGUAAAUAUUAUGAAGAAUUAUAAAAGAGGGCCCAAAUAGAAAUUCAGCCAAGAGAAGAAUGGAAGGCAAAGACAUCUUUCUGGGGAAGACUGGCCUCGGAAGCAAAUCCAGUAGAUGCAAACAUAGUGCCUUUCCCUCUGCCAGGCACUGUACAUAUCCUACUUUAUAUAAUCUUUUCAACCAUCCCACAAUGUGCUUUUAUGACUGUUUUAUGAACUGGGAAGCUGAGGCAGGGAGAAGUGGCAUAACUUGGCUAUAGGCACCAAGCUAGAACGUGACGAAGUGAGUGGCUGUGUUUCUAGUCCUUGUCAUUGUUUCUCCAGGCUCGCAACUCUGAAAGGAUGUGGCAGUUAUGUGGGUGGCACCUACCUACAUGCAAGGAAGUCAGCAUCCGUGUGAGUCACAGAUGAAGGGACAGCGCAACCAUAGGAGGAGAAGGUGGCUCUCAGCUGCAGGUGUGCAGGAACGUGGCAGAGGAGUGAUGAGCAGAGACGCAGGUAACGGUGGGAACACCACGCUAAGGGACUGGGACCGUGUCCUGUUGGACCUGAACACGAUCACAUGAGAGUCUGAACACAGCAUUCAAGCAAGAAUAAUGCUGUGUAUGGCCCUGAGAAAAUGAUGAACCAUCUCUAAGGUUUGACUUUAUUAGGGGAAAAAGGAACAUAAAAAGUACAUUGCAGAGAGAGCAAUCAUGUAUGAAUACACAUGAAAUUCAUGACACCAGUAGACAUUCAAGAAAUGGUCGUUAUUCUUGUAAAGCAUGUUAUAAACAGCUCAAUUGGAAGAACUGAGGACAUAUAUGAGCCCAAGUAUUAUGGUCUGGAUAUGAGGUGUUCCCCAAUAGCUCCUGUGUUAAUGCAAAAUUAUUCGGAGGCAAAAUGUUGGAUUAUAAGAGCUAUAACUGUAGGCAGAUGGGGUGUGGCUGGAGGUGGCUCACUGUGUCCUGCCUGGUAAGGGUUCAUUUCCCUUGAAGUCCAUUCUCCACUGGCUCCCUGCUUGCUGGCUGCCAUGAACUAGGCUGUUUUCCUCCACCAUGCCCUUUGGCCAUGAUGUUCUGCCUCAUCUUGGGUCCAGAACAAUGGAAUGGGCUGAUCAUGGACUGAACCUCUGAAACUGUGAGCCAAAAUAAACUUUCCCUCUUUUAAGUGGUUUGUGUCAGGUCUUUUGGUCACAGCAACAAUAUACCUAAUAUACCAAGGCUCUAUUAAUCCCAAAUGAAGUAUAGAGAACCUACAUCCUAUAUAGGGUCAGAGCCUACAUAGAGC
rnacentral:lncRNA from 1 species